rnacentral:rRNA from 1 species
GAUGAACGCUGGCGGCGUGCCUAAUACAUGCAAGUCGAGCGAACGGAUGAGAAGCUUGCUUCUCUGAUGUUAGCGGCGGACGGGUGAGUAACACGUGGAUAACCUACCUAUAAGACUGGGAUAACUUCGGGAAACCGGAGCUAAUACCGGAUAAUAUUUUGAACCGCAUGGUUCAAAAGUGAAAGACGGUCUUGCUGUCACUUAUAGAUGGAUCCGCGCUGCAUUAGCUAGUUGGUAAGGUAACGGCUUACCAAGGCAACGAUGCAUAGCCGACCUGAGAGGGUGAUCGGCCACACUGGAACUGAGACACGGUCCAGACUCCUACGGGAGGCAGCAGUAGGGAAUCUUCCGCAAUGGGCGAAAGCCUGACGGAGCAACGCCGCGUGAGUGAUGAAGGUCUUCGGAUCGUAAAACUCUGUUAUUAGGGAAGAACAUAUGUGUAAGUAACUGUGCACGUCUUGACGGUACCUAAUCAGAAAGCCACGGCUAACUACGUG